GCUUGGUAAAUGAAAUUGUCUGGCAAUAAUAAGAUCAUGUAUUUGGGAAAAUGUAUUCUGAGUUUUGUAUAAUUGACCAAAUCUUUGAAAAGCAUUCAUUAGUUAGUUGGUUUUGUUUACAGGCUGUCUAGAUCACUCAAUUGAAAUGUUCUCUUAAAGCAAUUAUUUGGAAUUUUAAAAGAUGGAUGUUAAGGUAGAGUUUCUUGGUUAGCAGGAGUGAGACACUGGGUUUGAUAUUCAGCAUUUGAAAAAGAAAAAAAAAGAAAAAAACUAUUUAAAAUGUGGACAGGUGUGCCAUAUAUAUAAUUUUUUCUAUAUAUUUUUUCUUCCAGCUCAAUGAAGUGAUACAUUAAUGAAGGCGAUUACAGAUUGGCAGAGUGGGAACUAAACUGAGGGGAAAUGGCAGAAAGCACAGCGGACAGAAUAAGAAGGAAUCACGCAGUCUCAUACCUGCAGAGCUGCUGACACUUCUAUCUCACUGUCUCCUUGAGGGUGAAUUGUGUCUCCUUGAUCAUCACGUUAUUGAAAGUACGG
rnacentral:lncRNA from 1 species